UACGGGGGGGGGCAAGCGUUGUUCGGAAUUACUGGGCGUAAAGGGCUCGUAGGCGGCCAACUAAGUCAGACGUGAAAUCCCUCGGCUUAACCGGGGAACUGCGUCUGAUACUGGAUGGCUUGAGGUUGGGAGAGGGAUGCGGAAUUCCAGGUGUAGCGGUGAAAUGCGUAGAUAUCUGGAGGAACACCGGUGGCGAAGGCGGCAUCCUGGACCGACAUUGACGCUGAGGAGCGAAAGCUAGGGGAGCAAACGGG
rnacentral:rRNA from 1 species